rnacentral:tRNA from 1 species
GGGGAUGUAGCUCAGUGAUACAGCAUCUGUCUGGUAAAUAUGAGAUCAUGAGUUCAAUUCUCAGUACCCA